AAAACCAAGGAAACCAAAAUUUCUGACCCUGCCAAACUAGAGAACAUUUAAGAUGCUGAUUAGUAGUAGAAACUAUACUGAUUUCAGAAUCCUCUUUCAAAAACAGCCAAAUAUUGCCUUCUUCUAAGUCAUUGGAGAUCACCUCAGCCUUCAAUGAGCUAUGGAAAACAGUACGACUACAUCCACGAAGAUGAAUGUUCAGCUGGAUGGUAUUGAUGCCAAACCAGACAAAGAUGAAGACGAAUACACAAAGAUUGAUGAAGACGAAGCAACUCGCCCACGGAGACACUCGUGUGCACGACACCCAUUUCGCCGGACACCCAUAUCUCUUUCUUCUCAACUAUGGAAGACGAAGAUGAAGAAGCUACCAAAUAUGCCGCUGCAUCUCUUCCUCUUUCAGUCAGUUUUGAGUUUUGUUUCUUUUCAGUUGUGGAAGACCCAGACGAAGAAGCUCAACACCCACGAACGCUUCUUCCUCUUUCCACUUCUAAUUUAUGUUUUCUUUCUAAUUUCGUCUAAUUUCGUCUAGUUUCUUUUUUUUCGUUUUUUUUUUUUAUUCAACUGAUGUGGCUUGCCCGCUUCCCCCUCGGUUACCCGUCCUGGUGGUACGUAGAAGAACUGUUAUGUUCCAGGCAAGAUUUCGGUGUGUUUGAACCAAAUUCCAUUA